rnacentral:rRNA from 1 species
UUUGGACAAUGGUAGGAGAGCGUUCUAAGGGCGUUGAAGCAUGAUCGUAAGGACAUGUGGAGCGCUUAGAAGUGAGAAUGCCGGUGUGAGUAGCGAAAGACGGGUGAGAAUCCCGUCCACCGAUUGACUAAGGUUUCCAGAGGAAGGCUCGUCCGCUCUGGGUUAGUCGGGUCCUAAGCUGAGGCCGACAGGCGUAGGCGAUGGAUAACAGGUUGAUAUUCCUGUACCACCUAUAAUCGUUUUAAUCGAUGGGGGGACGCAGUAGGAUAGGCGAAGCGUGCGAUUGGAUUGCACGUCUAAGCAGUAAGGCUGAGUAUUAGGCAAAUCCGGUACUCGUUAAGGCUGAGC